rnacentral:lncRNA from 1 species
UGGGAAUAAACAAAAAAAUUAUGCACAUAGAAAGCAUAAACAAGUUGAAAAUUUUAUAAGAAAGAAGAUACAAGCGAGUCGAAGAAAACGUUAAUUUUAGAAAACAUCAAUAAUUAAAACAGACAAAGGGGGUCCUAGGGAUAAAUGUAAUAUGGAUCACUUUGGUGCAAUACCCAGUAAUCAUUAUCACAUGAGAUAUUAGCGCACAGGUCAACAUAUCCAUAUUCUACCCUUCACACCCUGUAGAGGUUAUUUUAAAUGUGUGUUGUUCAGGAGUGCUUAGCGCGUGCUAUUACCCAUCCCAUCCUAUAGAUCCUAGUGGGUGUUAGGACCACUAUUCCUACAAAGGUGAGGACUAGGUUGAACCCUUAAUUUUAAAGGUAAAAUGCUAAGCGACAUACAAAAGAAAGUAGGACUUCAUAUAAGGGAUCAUAUAAAGGCAUGUAAAUGGCUCACGUACCCCUCCACGAAUAUACAUACAAUUAGCACGCAGCAAACACAUUUAUGGUCUAAAGAGAGUGAGAGUUUUAGAAAUUUGAAUGUAGAAAAAGAAAAAUCUGGGCAAGAUUAGGCACGAGAAGUUGGAAAAGGUUUAAUGUAAAGCAGUAAAAAAAUGCGUAUCAUUUGGGAAGAAAAUAUUUAUUCUUUUAAAAACACAGUUAAAGCCAUAUACGUAUGCAGUAUCAUGCUAUUAGAAAUAGUAGUUUGGUGCUGGACUGAAAAUAGCGUAUAGAUGAGAUGUAAACAAUUAUUCAAAAUUAGGAAAAAAACAAAGAGAGUGUGGCCCUUUAAAAAUUACAGAGGUCAUUAUAAGUUUUAGCAAAAAUAGUAGUCAAGUCUUGAACUGGAAAAGUAACUCGGUUGAAAACAUAUAGGUGAAAGAAUAAUAUAGGAAUUUAGAAGUAAAAACCAAACAGACAUCAGGGAGACAGAGCAGUUUGGGCCACAUAAAGAGGUCGAAUACGAUCAGUCAGUUUUAUCCGGCCUACGACUUUCAUAAGCAUUAACAGACAUGCACCUUGUUUUUUUCUUUAAAACAAUAAGUUAGUUUAUGUUUUAAUGAUUAAUAGGAUGACCAAAACGUUGCAAAUGGACUCCUAAUUGCAUGAUAUCCAAGGCACAUGAUGGCCCUAAAAAUAGGAUAUCUAAGUGCAUGUGAUGGUCCUAAAAAACAGGAUAUCUAAAUACAGUAGUAGAAUUUAAAUUAUUAACUGUUUAUGGUCAUGAAAGACGUCAGAUCGAAAGAAAAGGAUCCAAGGAGCAGGAUGUCCAUGUGUAGAGUGCAUGCUUUAACAUGAUUUUAUUGCAUGAAUAUAUAAAUAAAAUCCUAUAGGCAUGUUCCCUACACGUACCCUUAAUAAGCGUGCAUAACCCUCCCUGAUUUCACUAUAAACCCUCAUAGUUCUUACAGCUUAUUGCAAAUUAAGCAAUUAAAAUUAUAAUAGUGAAGAGUAAAACCAGAAGCUAUUCUACAGGGAGCCUUCAGCUAGGCCCAGACCUCCAACCUCACUUCUUUCGAGCUUCACAACCUUCACCAAGAUUUUAGGUACGGAAAAGUUCCCUAGAGGUCUCUUGAGACCCCGGCCAAUACCAGGCACCCAAAGAAAAUUACCAUUGAUAAGUGCAACUCUGGAAUUGCAAACCUAGUGCAUCAAAGAUUAGUGGGUACUCAAGGUACCCAAUGAAACGCUUACACAAGGGGGCAGAACCUAAUUCUAAG